rnacentral:rRNA from 1 species
GAUGAACGCUAGCGGGAGGCCUAAUACAUGCAAGUCGAGCGGAGUAGCAAUACUUAGCGGCAGACGGGUGCGUAACGCGUACGCAAUCUACCUCACACUGGGGGGAUAGUCAUUGGAAACGAUGAGUAAUACCCCAUAGUAUUUAGGGAAGGCAUCUUCUUUAAAUUAAAGUUCCGGCGGUGUGAGAUGAGCGUGCGUCCGAUUAGCUAGUUGGCGGGGUAACGGCCCACCAAGGCGACGAUCGGUAGCUGGUCUGAGAGGAUGAUCAGCCACACGGGCACUGAGACACGGGCCCGACUCCUACGGGAGGCAGCAGUAAGGAAUAUUGGACAAUGGACGCAAGUCUGAUCCAGCCAUCCCGCGUGGAGGAAUAAUGCCCUAUGGGUUGUAAACUUCUUUUCUCUGGGAAUAAAAAGUGGGAUUUAUCCUGCCUUGAAGGUACCAGAGGAAUAAGCACCGGCUAACUCCGUGCCAGCAGCCGCGGUAAU